UAUGGCCACAUCAUGUUGAAACACACCAUUUCCUGUAUGAGCACUGAAGUUAAGCAAUGUCAAGCCUGGUCAGUACCUAGAUGAAUGACCACUUGGGAAAAUGAGGUGCUGUAAG